GGUUUUCACAAAGAUCUGCAUCUUUAUUGAAAUUUACCCAGAUAAUCUGUAGUCCUAAGGGGUAGAGCUGGAGAUCGAGAUCGAACUUAACUUAAAUAGGAAAUCGCUAACCAAAAGACGAAAAUAUCCAAGGCGGCAACCAACAGGAUACCGCCACGUCCAAAUUCGAGCGUGUUUCCCUGGUUUGCACGUUAAGAUUUUCAGUAGUCCUCAGGAUAUUUUCAGGAUGAAA
rnacentral:misc_RNA from 1 species